rnacentral:rRNA from 1 species
AUUGAACGCUGGCGGCAUGCCUUACACAUGCAAGUCGAACGGCAGCACGGGAGCAAUCCUGGUGGCGAGUGGCGAACGGGUGAGUAAUAUAUCGGAACGUGCCCAGUCGUGGGGGAUAACGUAGCGAAAGCUACGCUAAUACCGCAUACGAUCUAUGGAUGAAAGCGGGGGAUCGCAAGACCUCGCGCGAUUGGAGCGGCCGAUAUCAGAUUAGGUAGUUGGUGAGGUAAAGGCUCACCAAGCCGACGAUCUGUAGCUGGUCUGAGAGGACGACCAGCCACACUGGGACUGAGACACGGCCCAGACUCCUACGGGAGGCAGCAGUGGGGAAUUUUGGACAAUGGGCGCAAGCCUGAUCCAGCAAUGCCGCGUGCAGGAUGAAGGCCUUCGGGUUGUAAACUGCUUUUGUACGGAGCGAAAAGGCUUCCACUAAUACUGGGGGCUCAUGACGGUACCGUAAGAAUAAGCACCGGCUAACUACGUGCCAGCCGCCGCGGUAA